rnacentral:snoRNA from 1 species
GCGGCGCACGGUGUCGACGUUCAGGACGCCGGCUAGAGGGCCGAGAGCUCCGCAGUCGACCACUCAGGCGGCACACCGGGACGCCGCUGCGCCGCAUCCACCAGCAGCCGCCGCGCCGCCGC